rnacentral:rRNA from 1 species
AGUCGAACGGUAACAGGAAGCAGCUUGCUGCUUCGCUGACGAGUGGCGGACGGGUGAGUAAUGUCUGGGAAACUGCCUGAUGGAGGGGGAUAACUACUGGAAACGGUAGCUAAUACCGCAUAACGUCGCAAGACCAAAGAGGGGGACCUUCGGGCCUCUUGCCAUCGGAUGUGCCCAGAUGGGAUUAGCUAGUAGGUGGGGUAACGGCUCACCUAGGCGACGAUCCCUAGCUGGUCUGAGGGGAUGACCAGCCACACUGGAACUGAGACACGGUCCAGACUCCUACGGGAGGCAGCAGUGGGGAAUAUUGCACAAUGGGCGCAAGCCUGAUGCAGCCAUGCCGCGUGUAUGAAGAAGGCCUUCCGGUUGUAAAGUACUUUCAGCGGGGAGGAAGGCGAUAAGGUUAAUAACCUUGUCGAUUGACGUUACCCGCAGAAGAAGCACUGGCUAACUCCAUGCCAGCAGCCGCGUAAUACGGAGGGGGCAAGCGUUAAUCGGAAUUACUGGGC